rfam:Monodelphis domestica chromosome 2, whole genome shotgun sequence.
ACAAUGGCUCUUUUCAGAGCCCCCUACAUUUAUUAAGUACCUAUU